rnacentral:rRNA from 1 species
UGAGGAAUAUUGCGCAAUGGAGGAAACUCUGACGCAGCAACGCCGCGUGGGUGAAGAAGGCUUUCGGGUUGUAAAGCCCUGUCAGGCGGGAAGAAACUUCCGCAGGUGAAUAGUCUGUGGAACUGACGGUACCGCCAAAGGAAGCACCGGCUAACUCCGUGCCAGCAGCCGCGGUAAGACGGAGGGUGCAAGCGUUGUUCGGAAUUACUGGGCGUAAAGCGCGUGUAGGCGGUUCGAUAAGUCGAGUGUGAAAGCCCGAGGCCCAACCUCGGAAGUGCAUUCGAAACUGUCGGGCUUGAGUACGGGAGAGGGAAGUGGAAUUCCUGGUGUAGAGGUGAAAUUCGUAGAUAUCAGGAGGAACACCGGUGGCGAAGGCGGCUUCCUGGACCGAUACUGACGCUGAGACGCGAAAGCGUGGGGAGCAAACAGG